GAUGAACGCUGGCGGCGCGCCUAACACAUGCAAGUCGAACGGUUAAAGCACCUUUUAGGUGUGUAUAAAGUGGCGAACGGCUGAGUAACACGUGGGCAACCUGCCCUCCUCUUGGGGAUAGCCUCGGGAAACCGAGGAUAAUACCCGAUACUUCAAUGUGGCCGCAUGACGACAUUGAGAAAGCUUUUGCGGAGAAGGAUGGGCCCGCGGCCUGUUAGCUUGUUGGUGGGGUAGAGGCCUACCAAGGCAAUGAUGGGUAGCUGGGUUGAGAGACCGACCAGCCAGAUUGGGACUGAGACACGGCCCAGACUCCUACGGGAGGCAGCAGUGGGGAAUCUUGCACAAUGGGCGAAAGCCUGAUGCAGCGACGCCGCGUGCGGGACGAAGGCCUUCGGGUUGUAAACCGCUUUCAGCAGGGACGAGGCGAUAAGUGACGGUACCUGCAGAAGAAGCCCCGGCGAACUACGU
rnacentral:rRNA from 1 species